GGAACCAAUGAGGAUUGUGUCAUGAACCAAGAAUUACAAUUAACUGAGUUCUGUGCACCUGAAGCAUA
rnacentral:snoRNA from 1 species